UGACAUUUGCUGUAUAUGUGGAAUUGCAAAGCCUGUUCAGUUGUUGUACCAAGUAGGUUAAAACUUCUGCAGCAUUAUAGGUUAAAACACAGGCAUUUCGGACAUAAUAGUCGUUUUCCAUGUGUUUAUUCUAACUGCCCCUGCACAUUUAGAACUUGGAAUGCACUUAGAAUUCAUUUAAAUAGAUUUCAUGUGUCUGACACUAGGCAGAAACAGUUUCAAAAUAUAAUAUUUAGUUGCCAUAUAUGUCAUUGUGGAGGACUUAACUUGGAGAAAGAUUACUGGGCUCAUAUUAAUGCACAUCUUAAGAAAAAUGAAUUGAUAACUUGUAUGUUUUCAGGUUGUAACUUUAAAACAAAUAUCUGUGGUACCUUUAAAUCUCAUAAGAACAGAAAGCAUCAUUCUUUUUUACUAAAUGAUUUUAAACCUGGGAUAGUAACAACUACAACAGUAGCUUCACAAGAGUCAGAUUUAGCAGAUGAUGUUGAGGUAGAGGCAUAUUAUGAAAUUGAAUCUGAUGUCCAUUCUUCAAAUAACCUUCCAAAUGAAAUCAAACACAAUUUUGCAGCAGCAUUGUUAAAGCUUGAACAUCUGUCCCAUGUACCCAGUGCAGCCAUUGAUGAAUUUUUACAAGAGCUUUACAUCCUAAAUAGCACUUUGUCAAUUCCCCUUACUACAGAUGUUUUAGUAGAUGCUUUUCAGAAGCACAAUCUUGAAGUUGACAAAUCUAUCCUGAAAGAAAUAGCAACUACACUGUCCACAGAUAACCCUAUACACAAAGCUAUACAAAAAGGUGGCUGUCUUGGUUCUGCUUAUCAACGUAGGCAGUAUUAUAAGACUAACUUCAAUGUAGUUGAUCCUGUUGAAUAUAUUCUGGAUGCUAAAAACAAAAAGACUUUUCAGUACAUUCCAAUUCUUGAUUCCCUUCAAGUGCUUUUAAAUCGGAAAGAUAUUUUAGAAAAGAUAUCUCCGGAUCAGAAAACACAAGAAACUGAGGAAGACAGUUUGUAUCAGUCUUUCAGAGAUGGUCUUCAUUUUAAACAAAAUAGGUUUUUGUCAGGUCAAGAGCUAAGACUUUUUGUGGGUUUAUAUGUUGAUGAUUUUGAGCUCUGCAACCCCCUGGGGACAUCCCGCAAAAAACACAAGCUUUGUGCAGUCUAUUGGGUGCUAAGGAACCUACCUCCUGGGUCCAAUUCAUCAUUGUCCUCUAUAUAUUUGGCCCUACUAUGUAGAACUGAUGAUGUCAAAACAUAUGGCUAUAACAGAGUGCUUGAACCACUCCUAAAAGACCUCAAAUACUUGGAAGAACAUGGAAUUUUCAUACCACUGUUAGGAGAAACACUGAAGGGAACUGUUGUUACUGUUUCUGCAGACAAUUUAGGAGCUCAUGGUUUAGCUGGCUUUAAUGAAAGUUUUUCAGGGCAUUAUAUUUGUCGAUUUUGUACUGCAAGCAAACAAGACAUUCAGUCAAUAGAGGUAAGAACAGGUGCUCUCAGCCUCAGAACAAAAGAGCUCCACAGUGCUCAUGUGAGGCUGGCUGAGGAUAGUGAUACUAACUAUUUUGGAGUGAAAAAAGCUUGUCCUCUAACUGAAGCUCUUUCUCAUUUUCAUGUCCUCACUGGCUACCCACCAGACAUUGCCCAUGAUAUAUUUGAGGGUAUUGUACCUGUUGAGCUUGCACAUUGUCUCACAUUGAUAAUAUCAAAAAAGUACAUUACCUUGGAUAAAAUCAACAAAUCAAUUUUGGAUUUUCCAUACAAAUAUAACGAUAAGACUAAUAAGCCUCAUGUUUUGCCUCAACCUUUAUCAAGCAGGAAAACAAUAGGAGGCAAUGCUCAUGAGAACUGGAGCUUGUUACGCUUGCUUCCAUUUUUAAUUGGUCCUCAGAUUCCUGAAAAUGAGCCUGCAUGGCAGAUUCUCUUAGACUUGAAAGAGAUUGUAGAACUUGUUGUUGCCCCAGUUCACAAUGAUGAGUCCAUUGCUUACUUAGAAAGUAAAAUAUCUGAGCACAGACAAAGAUACCAGGACUUAUUUCCUGAACAGAGAUUGCUGCCCAAACACCACUACUUGGAGCACUACCCUCAAAUAAUCAGGUUGUUUGGUCCUCUUGUGGGGUAUUGGACAAUCAGGUUUGAAGCAAAGCACAGCUUCUUUAAACAGGCAAUUAGACAUACCAGUUGCUUCAAAAAUGUCCCAUUCUCCCUGGCCACAAAACAUCAGCUAAUGAUUGGGUACCAGCUAACUUCACCAAGUCUUGAGAAGUCAGAGCUGGAAAUGUCAAGUGGAUCUGCAGUCCCAGUGGAUAUUUUGAAGGAAGAGAUAGCUAUAGUUGUGAGGCAGAGAUAUCCUAAUCUCUCUGAAAUUCAUAUCACAAAAAAUGUUUGGAGUAAGGGUAUCAACUACAGGACAGGAAUGAUCGUUGUUCAUGGAUCUGAAGGUGGAUUACCUGAAUUUGGUCAAAUUGAGCAAAUUUGUGUUUUGCAUCAAAAGUUGUUCUUUAUUGUGAAACAACUCUGUGGAUGGUAUAGAGAGCACUAUAGAGCUUACGAGCUAAGUCAGUCCCCAACAAAGGCAGUUAGCCUUGUAGAAGUCAGUGAAUUAACUGAUGAAUACCCCUUGGCUGACUAUUUGAUUGGACAUGUGCAGAUGGUAACGUUAAAGAGAUUUGUCUGCUGCAAAGACUGAGGCACUGGACAAUGACAUCGGCUGUUCUUCGAAUCAUUUUGGGGGAGAGCAGCUGCCAGAGAGUGGUUUUUCCAUCUGGCUUGCCUGAGUCUGUGACUGAACUAGAAGAUGCUGUGAGGAGUCAAUGUAAGCUACAGGACCCCUUUCGUCUGCAGUUUAUGGACACUCUUUUUGAUAACCAGUUUAUGAAUUUGACUUCAAUGAAUGAAAUUAAGGACAAAGCCACAAUAAAAAUAAUAAACAUUACUGACUCCCUCUCACCACUGAAUGCUACUUCAGCUGGCACAAUGAACAGUUCAACCUUUGCCCCAGGACAUUCCGAAGUCUCUGCAUCCAUUUCUUCUCUCUCCUCUACCAGACGAUCUUCUUGGCCUGAAACAUUCUGCAUUCCACCAUUUUCAUAUGAUGCAGAAUUUAAGCUUGAACAGGCAAACAGUGUCUUCAGAGAAAAUGGAACACUGCUUAUUCCUGAUAUCAAGCUGAAGUCAGAUAUACUUGAGGGGUUGGUCCAAAAAAUUGUUCAAUACAAGGUCUAUGUCACGGACAGAGAGUUUGAACAAGUGGGAGAGGCACUCAUCAAGAAGCAUCCAUGUUUAACAGAAAGGGGCUCAGACACUGGGUAUGGGGGUUGGAAAGUGAGCCUCAAGUACAAAUUAUCUAACUAUCGCACACAUCUCCGAAAACUUGGAUGUCCUGAAGUUACUGUAAAUUCUUUAAAGCAUAAGCCAGAUGGGAAAAAAAGCCCUGCCUACAAUGUAAAGAAGCCCAAGAGAGGUGAAGUGCACUACUGCCCCUCCUAUUCCCCUGGAGAGAACGACCAUACUCUGGAGAUUGCAAGAGUUGAGCUUCUUUCAGAUGUGAAAAAAAACAACAACCGAGAGACUAUUAAAACUAAAAUGCAGAGAACAUUUGCACUCAGGAGACAAGAAGUGCUUCGUUGUGCCCCUAUGAUCGGGGACUUCAUGAUGAGAUGGCCAGCUCUCUUUGAUGUCACUGAGGUUUGUGAUAGAUUUCCAAAAUUGGUUGAAUAUGUCUAACAGAGAGUCAUAUCUUAUUGCUACUCUUAUUUCUUUUUGUUAACAUUCUGCUUUCAGGUGAAUGCAGAGUUCAAGCGAAUCACAACAGUUCCUCUACAGUCAAAAUUUCUGUCACAGCUUGACCUUCACUAUGAAGGCUUUCUGAAGGUUUUUGAAAGGCGACCAGGGCAACAAGGCAGAAAGCUGAAAGAGAUGAUGUCAACUGUAGUUGAA
ensembl:lncRNA